rnacentral:rRNA from 1 species
UGACCUCAGAUCAGGUAGGGAUACCCGCUGAACUUAAGCAUAUCAAUAAGCGGAGGAA